rnacentral:rRNA from 1 species
CAGAAUCCCGCCUAGACGUGACGAUACCAUGGCGCCCGGGCUAUACGAUUGGUCUCGGUUAGCCGGCCCUCCGGGGGCCCGGCGAGGAAAGACGUUUGACACUGGCCUGGGGCGCGGCCGAAUGAUGGCCGCCCCUCUCCUGUGACACACCGCAUGUUUGUGAAUAACUGGGUGUUAAACCACUUGCAUACGACCUGAUUCUGGGUCAGGGUGUCGUAAGUAGCAGAGCAGCUUUAUGACUGCGAUCU